GUAAAGAGUGUCAAUGAACAAUGGGUGAAGUGAGGAGAUAAGAAUUCAAAAUACACUGGUUUUUGACAAAUUACCUAGCUGGUCAAAUUUUCACAGUACCAAGAUACAAGGCCAAGUGUGUCAUCUUGUAAUUAAAUGAAGAAAAUGUGAUCUGUUCCAAUGAUGAAGUGUCAACAUUGUACCUUCCUUAAGGAUUUUCAAAGUAGGUUGAAAGGACAUAAAGAAGCAGUGAAAAUCCUAGUAAUAUUAUGAUUGUUUUGGCUACUAAACCUGCUAAAAUGGAACAGCUUCCUGGCACUGUGGAGGAACAAAGAAUAUGUAAACUGUAACAGCAGUGAAAUUUUACAAAAGGAAUCUGAAGAAAAUAAAACCAGAGCUAUAGCACAUAGGAAGGACAUCAUAAUCUACAGAGAAAAUGGCUAAAGACUUGCUUUGCUUACUGAUGAAUCCCCAGUGCCAGAAACAGUGCCUGGCACACAAGCAGGUACUCAUUAAUAAAUGGGAAAUUAAUAAAAAAUGAAAAUACAUUUAAUCCAUAGGUUUUGGUCGUGGAUUAUCAAUCAGACACUCUUAAGCUCUUGAU